GUUGGCAUUUGGAGCGAAGGGGGUACACCUGUUCCCAUUCCGAACACAGCCGUUAAGUCCUUCAGCGCCGAUGAUACUUGGAGAUAGUCCUGGGAAAGUAGGUCGAUGCCAACG
rnacentral:rRNA from 3 species